rnacentral:rRNA from 1 species
AUUGAACGCUGGCGGCAUGCCUUACACAUGCAAGUCGAACGGCAGCACGGGAGCAAUCCUGGUGGCGAGUGGCGAACGGGUGAGUAAAGUAUCGGAACGUGCCCAGUCGUGGGGGAUAACGUAGCGAAAGUUACGCUAAUACCGCAUACGAUCUACGGAUGAAAGCGGGGGAUCGCAAGACCUCGCGCGAUUGGAGCGGCUGAUAUCAGAUUAGGUAGUUGGUGGGGUAAAGGCUCACCAAGCCGACGAUCUGUAGCUGGUCUGAGAGGACGACCAGCCACACUGGGACUGAGACCCGGCCCAGACGCCUACGGUAGGCAGCAGUGGGGAAUUUUGGACAAUGGGCGCAAGCCUGAUCCAGCCAUGCCGCGUGCAGGAUGAAGGCCUUCGGGUUGUAAACUGCUUUUGUACGGAACGAAAAGGUUUGGCCUAAUAAGCUGGACCCAUGACGGUACCGUAAGAAUAAGCACCGGCUAACUACGUGCCAGUCGCCGCCGUAA